CUAAGUCAGAGGCCCCUGGAGAGCUUCAGAGAGCUGAGUCCUCAGAGGCAGCCGAGUGUGUCUAGGGGGCAGCCUCUGAGCUCAGGUGACAGCAGCUCACUGAAGCUCCCGCCAGGUGAAGCCUGUCUGAGUCCCCUCCAGUCACCGAAGGCGGCGAGCCUUCCCGCAGCGCAGCGGCUCCUCCUCGCCCCCGCCGCUCCCUGCUCAAGGGCGCUCGCGCAGGUCCCAGAGCAUCCCGCGCCUCCGUCCCGUCCUGCCACCGCGUCGCCGCAGCCCAGACCGAUACUCUCGGUGCCCCUCGCCUCCGCCCCCGGCGGGCUGCCCGGAAUCAUCUUUUAAAACAUCUAGUGAAGACCUGCAAAACGCCCCUGCUCUCACCAGCUCCAGGGCUCCAUGGAUGCUGCUCUCGC
rnacentral:lncRNA from 1 species